CCUUCUUCAGUCUGAGGUUGGAGCUAAUAUGAUGGCCGCUUCUGGUGCUGGAGCUGCAACAACAAUGUUCACAAAUCCACUUUGGGUUGUCAAGACUAGACUCUCAAAUAUGAGUUCUAAAGUUCACCAGAUGCAUUCUCUACUUCAGUUCAUUAAUAUAAAAUACCCCCUAAAAGUCUUAUAGGAUUACGUUCAUAUUUUUAUUUUGAGACUUUUAUGUAAUUAGAUA